rnacentral:rRNA from 1 species
GGAAGUUACAAUACCUCGCAUUUCGCGGCGUCGUCAGCGAGCCAAAACCAGAGAACCGUGUUGAAAGUUUGUUAAAUGUCAGCUCGAACCGCCCGGUGAGAACGAUUUUUUAUAGCGCAUAGCCGGCGCUCGCGGACCGCACCAAGAUAGCACGUGCUCGUAAGAAACCCCAGAGAAGGGGAGCUACCUUGGGGUAAGUGUUCGUUAAUAAGUUUCCCGGCCCCUCCCCGCGCGCACACACAAAGAGAGUAGAAGUCGUAACAAGGUUUCCGUAGGUGAACCUGCGGAAGGAUCAUUACUGAGAGGGGGGUUUCGCGCCCCCAGGGGCUCUGCCCCGCACCUUUCCAUCCUUUGUUCAUUCUUCACUGUUGCUUUGGCGGGUCUCCGGGGUCUUCCCAGCGCCAGCUCCCUUCGUGGGGUCCGCGAGCGCCCGCCAUCGGCCCAUCAAAAAUCGUUUUCACCAGGCGGUCUGAGCUGUACAAAUAUAAACAAAACUUUCAACAACGGAUCUCUUGGUUCUGGCAUCGAUGAAGAACGCAGCGAAAUGCGAUAAGUAAUGUGAAUUGCAGAAUUCAGUGAAUCAUCGAAUCUUUGAACGCACAUUGCGCCCUUUGGUAUUCCGAAGGGCAUGCCUGUUCGAGCGUCAUUACACCUCUCAAGCUUUGCUUGGUAUUGGACGACUCGUCUCCUGAACUUCUCGGGGGCCGCGCCCGAAAUCUAGUGGCGGUUCAGGUGGAUUACUAGCGCAGUAAAUACUUAUCCGCUUCUGUAGUUUGCACCUGCGAUCCGGCCAGCGAAAACGUUAACCCCCAAAAAUGACCUCGGAUCAGGUAGGAGCCGUAU